UCUCUUCUCGCCAAUCGAGCAGUACGCGCGGCUGCAGCUCCAACGAUCUGACCACCCCUCGCGGCCGCGGCUCCGCUGCUUUAAACCACCAACCAGCGCCCGGGGCUGCAGCGCGCCGCACACAACGCCUGGCGCCGCGCACGCCCCGCCCCCUGCUGCAGCGCCAGAAGCCACGAUCAGGUUGGCCUCACUCAUGCUGAAGGAGAGCCAGAGCAGCAGUCUGAGUGAAGCGGGUGACGGAUGGAGCCCUUGCACUUCUGGCAUCAAGAAGAGGUUCCUUCUUAGAAGAAGGAAGAGGGAACUGUGUGAGAAGAGUAUGCUAAUGGGAAGAAAAUGUGGCACAGAACAGUCCCAAGAGGGAAGAGUACAUCAUCAUAGUUGAAAUACAGUAGGGGCACAUGAUUCUGUGAGGGAGAACCUUAUCGAAAUGAAAGAAAAAAACCAGGGUGUACCGUUAAUAGCAAAUAAAUUUUGUGGUGUGCAUCCAUCAAAUGUGAUAUAAUGCUAAAUACUGUCUUUGAAGAAAGCAAAGAAUUGAGGAUGCUACCACAGUCCUCAUGAAAAACAAGGAAAUAGGGGACCCAACAAUAAGAAGACGGAUGAGGAAAAUGCUGUCCUCUCAAAACCGAAAGGACCAAGGAAGUUCAGAAAUACUAGUAUAUGGGAAACUGGCAAGAGUCAGAGGAAAAUGGGCCAGACCUUCUUAAAGGUCCUGGGACUUCACAUGACCUGUGAGAAGGGUGAGAGAAUCUGUAACUUUAAAGGAGAAUAAACAGAACACAUGCUCCAAAUAUGGCCAAAUAAAAUGCCAUUAAUACUAAAAAAUACACUUUGAAGGAAAAAAAGAGAAAUUAAUAUUCACUUUAAACUCAAAUUAUUUAUUGCAUACCAGUGGUUAAAACAUUAACACAGUAGAGUCUGGGUGUCAUUGGUGAACAAAACAAAAGUGUAAUACAUUAAAUAAAAGUAAGCAAUAAAUUAA